AAAAACAUGUCUUUUUGAAUUAAAUUUAAAGUCUAACCUGCCCAUUGNNAAUUUUUAAAAGGCCGCAGUAUUUNNUAACUGUGCAAANNUAGCAUAAUCAUUAGUCUUUUUAUUGAAGGCUGGAAUGAAUGGUUGAAUGAAAUAUUAACUGUAUCGAUUUAAUUUUUAUUAAAAUUUUAUAUUUUAGUUAAAAAGCUAAAAUAUUAUUAAAAGACGAGAAGACCCUAUAAAUCUUAAUAAUUNUAAAAUNUUAUUUUUUAUAUAGAAAAUUUAUUAAAUAAAUAAAUAAAUUAUUUUAUUGGGGUGAUAUUAAAAUUUAAUUAACUUUUAUAAUUUUAUAAACAUUAAUUUAUGAAUUUANUGAUCCAUAUAAUUAUGAUUAUUAAAAUAAGUUACUUUAGGGAUAACAGCNGUAAUUUUUU
rnacentral:rRNA from 1 species